rnacentral:rRNA from 1 species
UACGUAGGGUGCAAGCGUUAAUCGGAAUUACUGGGCGUAAAGCGUGCGCAGGCGGUUAUGCAAGACAGAGGUGAAAUCCCCGGGCUCAACCUGGGAACUGCCUUUGUGACUGCAUAGCUAGAGUACGGUAGAGGGGGAUGGAAUUCCGCGUCUAGCAGUGAAAUGCGUAGAUAUGCGGAGGAACACCGAUGGCGAAGGCAAUCCCCUGGACCUGUACUGACGCUCAUGCACGAAAGCGUGGGGAGCAAACAGG